rnacentral:rRNA from 1 species
GUAUUAGUUAUGUUCUUGAAAAUUAAAAGAGUUGGCGGUAUUUUAGUCUAUUCAGAGGAACCUGUCCUGUAAUUGAUGAUCCACGAUCUUUUAUACUUAAUUUCUAUAAGUUUGCAUAUCGCCGUAGGUUGAAUAUUUUUUUAAAAUUUAAAAUGUUCAAAAUUUUCAUGAGAAAGGAAUUCAGGUCAAGAUGUAGCCUAUAGUUAAGAAGAGAUGGGUUACAAUAAAAUUAUUUAUGAUGGAUUAAUAAGUGAAAAUUUUUAUGAAGGUGGAUUUGAUGGUAAU